rnacentral:tRNA from 2 species
GGGGAAUUAACUCAGCUGGUAGAGUGCCUGCUUUGCAAGCAGGAUGUCACCGGUUCGAGUCCGGUAUUCUCCACCA